rnacentral:rRNA from 1 species
AAGAGGUAUCGUAAUUGAAGAGGUUUGGAAAGACCCACCACAGAAGGUAAUAGUCCUGUAUGUUAAACGAGAAGACUUCAGAUAUGAUCCAGAGUACCACGGGACACGUGAAACCCUGUGGGAAGCAGGAGGGACCACCCUCCAAGGCUAAAUACUACCUAGUGACCGAUAGCGUAUAGUACCGUGAGGGAAAGGUGAAAAGAACCCCGGGAGGGGAGUGAAAUAGAACCUGAAACCCUGCACUUACAAGCUGUGGAAGCACAUUUCUUGUGUGACCGCGUACUUUUUGUAGAACGGGCCAACGAGUUACGUUAAGUAGCAAGGUUAAGCACUUAAGGUGUGGAGCCGUAGCGAAAGCGAGUUUUAACUGAGCGUUCAGUUACUUGACGUAGACCCGAAACCGGGCGACCUACCCAUGAGCAGGAUGAAGCGAAAGUAAAAUUUCGUGGAGGUCCGAACCCACGAGCGUUGAAAAGCUCGGGGAUGACUUGUGGGUAGCGGUGAAAUUCCAAUCGAGCCCGGAGAUAGCUGGUUCUCCCCGAAAUAGCUUUAGGGCUAGCCUCAAGGUGAGAGAUACGGAGGUAGAGCACUGAAUGUCCUAGGGGGUAUUGCACCUACCGAAGACUAUCAAACUCCGAAUGCCGUCAUCUUAUACUUGGGAGUCAGACUGUGGGUGAUAAGAUUCAUAGUCGAAAGGGCAACAGCCCAGAUCGUCAGCUAAGGUCCCUAAAUGUAAGUUAAGUGGUAAAGGAUGUGGGAUUGCACAGACAACCAGGAUGUUGGCUUAGAAGCAGCCACUCAUUCAAAGAGUGCGUAAUAGCUCACUGGUCGAGUGAUCCUGCGCCGAAGAUUUCCGGGGCUAAAACUUACUACCGAAGCUACGGCAUCAGUAAUGAUGGGUAGGGGAGCUUCCCAUACGGGUUGAAGCAUGACCGUAAGGACAUGUGGACAGUAUGGGAGUGAGAAUGUUGGCAUGAGUAGCGAGAUGUGGGUGAGAAUCCCACAGGCCGUAAACCCAAGGUUUCCAGGGGAAGGUUCGUCCGCCCUGGGUUAGUCGGGACCUAAGCUGAGGCCGAAAGGCGUAGGUGAUGGACAACAGGUUGAUAUUCCUGUAC